AACGAACGCUGGCGGCAGGCUUAACACAUGCAAGUCGAGCGCCCCGCAAGGGGAGCGGCAGACGGGUGAGUAACGCGUGGGAAUCUACCCAUCUCUACGGAAUAACGCAUGGAAACGUGUGCUAAUACCGUAUACGUCCUUCGGAGAAAGAUUUAUCGGAGAUGGAUGAGACCGCGUUGGAUUAGCUAGUUGGUGGGGUAAAGGCCUACCAAGGCGACGAUCCAUAGCUGGUCUGAGAGGAUGAUCAGCCACACUGGGACUGAGACACGGCCCAGACUCCUACGGGAGGCAGCAGUGGGGAAUAUUGGACAAUGGGCGCAAGCCUGAUCCAGCCAUGCCGCGUGAGUGAUGAAGGCCCUAGGGUUGUAGAGCUCUUUCACCGGUGAAGAUAAUGACGGUAACCGGAGAAGAAGCCCCGGCUAACUUCGUGCCAGCCGCCGCAGUAAUAC
rnacentral:rRNA from 1 species